AAAAUACCAUACCAGGGAUUCUUUGAAAAAUCAGAUUAAAGUUUCUGACACAGGGUGUGUGGGCUUGUUGCUUUAGUUCCCCACAGGAUGGUGGAAGACUAGAGUCUGCCCGAGAGGAGAAACUUAGAAACCCUUCCAGCCAGCCGCCCGUGAAAAAGCAAGGGUGGGGUAGAGAAGGGGGAAAAGGGGGAGUAGCGGGAGGAGAGAAGCAAGGAGAGAAAAUGAGGGGGUGGGGGGAGCUAGUGGAGGGGCUGCGAUUAACCUGUAUGCAUAGUGUUACCAUACAGUAUGUCCUGUGUGCAACUGCGAACGAAGGAUAGGCUUUUAGAGAGGAAAAGCCGCAGCUCCACACGUUCCUGUCUGAAGGAUGGUCCAGAAACCCCAGACGUCUCGUCGCCUUCUCGUUUCCACCUCUAAGAGAACUAGAGAAGAUCAUUUCAUGUUGACGGACUUGGGGGGAAAUGUGCAAAUGUUUAUGGAUGUUUCCCUGAAAUUCCAAAGCUUCUAGAUGGCCCAUGACACAGAUUUUUCUACCUUCUGAAGCAGAACUGUGGAAGGGGUGCCCUGGGGACUGUCUGACGGAGUCCCCCUAUCGUGGUUUAAAUCCCACUACUGAUUCCUGAUUGGCAGGGAUGCUUUCACCUGCUCUGUUUCCGACCUGGGCCAGUUCAGCCUGGUCCUCCGUCGUCACCCAGCCCCCAUCAUAUUAAAUACCCAGCUAAGUGCAGACACUUGAUCAGCAUAACCCAAUGCGGUGCUGAAACUCCUGAGCUGAAGAGAUCCUCCAGCUGUCAACACGCCAGGUAGCUGGCGUGUUAGGGAUGUCCCACCGUGCCUACCUCAGAUCUUCCUAACUCCAAAGCCAUCACGCCAACCAGCUGCCUCAGACUUCCUGUACCAGACAAGCCAUCGUCCACUGAUCAGCAAGUCAUUUCCUCUAGGGGCAGCUUUUCAUUUUCAGAAAGGUAUGCCUUAGACCCUAAAUUCAUUUCUCUGUCGUUACUCCCCAUUAUUCCUCCUUCCCACUGGAGUCAAGCAGAGCCUGUCCGAUGCCUCUUCCCUAAGAUGGUCUUUCAGACGUGAAGACGGUUAUGUUCCUACCCUACACCAAGUCUCCUCCAGGCUCACCAUCCCCACUUCCUUCAAUGGCUUUUUGCAUGGCUGUCAGAAUGACCCUGUCACACACGCCGCAAAUUUCAGGGGCUCCCCAUUGCCUUUAAGAUGAAAUACAACAUUUUCUGCCUGGCAUUUAAAGCCUUUCCUUCUCAGUCUGGUUCCAGCCUACCUUUCCCGGCUAACCCUUCACACACCCUCCAUUGCAGCCAAACUGGCCUAUUUACUCUUUUUUUGGGGGUGGGGGGUUAGGCAGUGGGGUUAAGUGACUUGCCCAGGGUC